rnacentral:lncRNA from 1 species
GAGCUAUCCAGGGUCCAGAUUUCCUGUAUCCCACCACAGCCAGGUGUUCCUAGAAGCCUUCACUUCAGCAGCCCCCCACUCCAUACUACCAAAUCUGUGCCUGGGGCACCAGGCCUUUGCCCCUGACAAGUGACAGUGAUGCCUGGCCGGCCUUCUCGUGAGCUGUAAGGAAGAGACUGGCACAGUCAUGCACUAGGCAUUGAGAGGGAGGUUCCAAACCGCUUCGCAGUCCUGGGGACUCCUCCUGCCCAAAUAAGCACCAGUAGGGCCCCUGCAGGAGUCAGAACCUGGGAGAGCGAUCCUCUGUCCAUUUACAGCAAAACUGGGGAUACGAAGGCUGCUGGUCACAAGCCCUGGUCUACCCUUCCUCCACACCAGGUUAGAAGAACGAUCAAUGGAAGGACAGAGGCAGGAAAUGGUUAACCCAGAGAAGAGCCUCAGAAGCCAAUUGACCCCUCCCGGUUGGGCAAUAAGGCCUCUGAGGGCUGCUUUUGCUGACCUCCCUUUGGCGCCACAGAGCUGGACAGCCAGAGCUUCCAACCUGUCUGGAGGUGGAAGAGGGACUGGGAGUCAGAGCGCCUGGCUCCUGGUCCUGAUGCUUCCUCUCAGUGGCUUGUGACCUGGGCAAGCCCCAUGGACUCUCUGGACCUCGGUUUCCUCCUCUGCCAAAAUGGGGAUCCUCUACCGUCUUUGCCUUCCUCAUGAGGUUAGGAGAGCCAAUGAGAGAAUGCUCUGGAAAGCACCUUGUAAAUUGCAAAGCACUCUACAAACAGAAGGCAUCUCCAUUGAACAAUUAUGUAACCCGCUGACUCAGAACUGGGCUGCGCUGGCUCCUCUCCCGCCAGGACGUCAGAAGAGCUGGCUCGGUCCCUCACCUGGCACAACUCAGUUAUAGUUUCCCAUCUGACGAAUGGAGAAGACACUCAUUGUCCUGCUUUGCGGAUUUGUGGCAAGAAUCACAGAAGAUCAUGGUCGCAGGCUGACGUCUCUGAGUUUUGUGAUAGAAGCAUAAAGACUGAUUCCCACAAAGAGGAUAAUGGCCAGGAUUGGGGUCCCGAUACAGUUUUGCGACACCUUUUGCUGUCUGCACAGGUCUCUCUUGGGCAAUACUUUGCAGCGUUAUUUCUGGCAAGGAAUUUGAAGUCGGUUGCCUGAGUAAAGGGUAAAAUUAGAAGUGGGGAUCAGGAGUGAAGGUCGAGUUAGCUUGCUGUGGGUCCCCCUUCCCCCGGGUCAGAAGCAGGUGGGGACUGUGUGGAAGAGGGAGGGGGUGAGUGCUGGGGGAAUGGGGAUUCCUGUCAUCUUGGUCUUGGGCAAG